UCUUGGUCGUCCUGCGGGCUGUCUUGCAAGCCGUCAUGCAGGCCACCUUGACGGUAACGUUGCAGGUCGCCCUGCCGGGCUUCUCGCAAGACGACAUCCUCGUC
rnacentral:pre_miRNA from 1 species